GCAUGUGUUGGUAACUUUGGAUUUAGGUCCAGUAAAUAUCCCUACCAGCUAUAGGCUGUCGAAACGGGGUGAUGACAGCCACAGGAUUCUGCAGGCAUGGAUAUCCACCAUCUACAAGGAGGAAAUAACCAGCCGGGGGAUAAAGGGACUCCUUAAACAUUGGAGAUCUCCGCAGGACAAGGGCAUCGUGGACAGAACCUGUGUUGCCAAUCAGGUGGACGGAUUCCGAUGUGGCAACCAUCAAUGGCUCCUGCAGCGAAGCAGAAAGCUUCAUGGCCGGCCAGGUGAGCGAAACCUGCCCCCACCACCUCCAUCUCAUCGGCCUUGGGGAAAUGGAUGAUGCGGUGGAGGAUUGUCAUCAUUUCCUCUGCCACGUGGUGUACAGCUCUGCACACUGUAGCCACUGGCAUAGAAAAGGCAUCAGAUGUCACACGGACCUGGACCAGCAGCUGAAUGGUAGACCUGGUGAGCCUGAAGGCUGGUUUGGUUUCUUCAUCUGAGAAGACUAUCUUGAGGAUGGG